AAAUUCAAACACGCUGUGGCGAUCUCAGACUCAGACAACGACACCAUAUUCGAGUGCCUGUCUACAAAGCGAUUGGGCAUUGAUCCACAGACCCUAACCGGCACUUAUGAAUUCUUAUUGCCGUCAUCUGGGCAUGUGCUUUUGUUCUACGUCCGGCCAGGAGACACUCCUGGUACAAUAACUCUGACGUCAGACUUAGAUCCUAACCCUAAGGAAGGAAUCAUAUACUACACAGACUAUAAGGACUGUGUUGUGGCAGAUCUGGAGUUGCAAGGGGAUGGACAUCAGUGCACCCUGUGGACACGAGCAAGAGUGAAGAACAACAUACCGCAAGACUGCAUCGACCAAUUUGUGGAUGUCUGUGGAGUAGUAGUUCCUGCACACAGCCGAGACUUGUGCGCGGACGCCGAUGACGAAGAUUAGCUCCAGGAUCUGGUUUUGUAAAUGCGUAUACCACCACAAAUUCAACGUCUUGCAUACAUUCGGCACUGAGUGAGACCGUUGUGCUUGGCGGGAGCUUAUUGGUGUGAAAUGUUUUAUGUAUUCGUAGUCUGUAGAGCAAAGGGCCAAACGUUUUCACAAUAAAAGCCAUUUAACAUAC